GUCAUGGUGGGCCAGAGAUUGAAUAGAGAUGUAAAUUAAACCAACAGUUUAGUUCUGUAACUCCAUGCAGUAGACAUGCAGAAUCGAAAAUAAUGUUCUCUCUUUCUCUCUCUCUCUCCCUUUUUCUCUAACUGUAUAUCAUUACUAUAAGGAAGAUAAAUUAUUUAAUUGUAAAAUUAUGUCAUCAGAUUGCCAAUAUGUUCUUGGUAUUUAUUUCGUCUGGUGUGAAAAAUUACGUUGAUAUUAAUCUACUUUAACACCACAUGUAUUGAAUUAGCUGAUCUAUAAAAGUAAUAUAUAACACUAUGAGACUUAUAAUGGGACCACAGAACUUCAUGAAUUGUCCGAAAAACGUAAAGCGUAAUAUGGGAGGGGCUGGCGGGUGUGGGGUGGAGUGGGUUUGGGGGUCCAGGUGCUCUGGCCAGUUAGUGCUUUCCAGGAACAGCACAGCACCAGUAGCGGUACCGAGAUCGCUGUAACCUCGAGCAUCGCCUCCCCUGGAGUGAAGGAGAAGGAUUUGCGCCGUUUUAUGGAGGAGAUCCAAGAUCGUUUGGAGUAAUCCCGAGUGAGCUCCCGUUUGGUUUGGUGGUGCUGCCCUGCGAUCUCUCCUCCAAGUCGCCCUGCUCCGCUCCUCCUAACGGGCGAGGACGCCGCCAAAAGUCAGGAAACACGUCGAUCUCAGUCGGAUUUCGAAAUCUGCACUAUUCUAAGCUUCGUUCGGACUGCAACGACGGAUAGAACAAUAUCAGCGAUAGAACAACGAAAAAUGUUCAAGAAGAGUAAAAGUCAAGUACUUGUGGAUUAUGCCUCUGAGGAGGACGACAUGUCUUGGCAUCACCUCCAUUCGUACAAGGACAAAGACCAGGAGGGAGGAGUGGAGGAAACACUGAGCCCCCCUACAAAGGAAACGAAGGUGAAGAAGAUCAAGUCAAAGAAAGAAAAGAAAGACAAGAAGCUGGACGAUGAGCACUUUCUACUGACAGGAGCCACACUCCCAGAUAAAAAAGGGAAGAACAAGGAGGAGGAGCGUAGUGCCAAGCCACAGGACCGGGAGAAGGACAAACGCUUCUGGGAUAGCAUCACCAUGACGAUGCGGCAGAUCACCCCGACCCGCAAAAUGGACAAGAUGGAGGGCUGGGAGCCGCCACGACUGCCCAGCGAACCGGGAGACGAGAACGAACCGCAGAAGGAGGAAAUAAAGAAAGACGUCCCCACUUCUCCCUCCCCUCCCCUCCCUCUCUCUUCCCCUCUCUCUUCCCCUCUCUCCUCCUCUCCUCUCUCCUCCCCUCUCUCCUCUCCUCUCUCCUCUCCUCUUUCCUCCCCGCUGUCUCUCUCUCUGCCCUCCUGGAGAGCAGGGGUGACGCUGGAGGACUGGCGCUAUGCCAGCCUGGCAGACUGCACUGCCCAGCGGGAGGGCUCUGGAGCCGGUCUGGGAGCGGGCAGCGCCAUCCGGUGGGCCGCUCGUGCCAGGGGCAAGCUAGCGGCGGGCAUCAGGAGGAGGAGCCACGGCAGCGUGUCAGAGAACAUGUGGGAAGGGCUUAAAUGA
rnacentral:lncRNA from 1 species